UGAGGCAGCUGAGGAGGGAACUCGAUCGCCGUGUUGGAGUUUGUCCGAAUAAUAUGCUGCAGGUCUUGACAUCUGCCAUUGGAAGUUGGAAAGGAAGUCCUACCAUAGCCCAUUCAGGUCUGAUGUUUGCCGUUCCAAAUGACAAAAGUCGAGUAGAAGUUGAUUGCUAUCAAACUUCACUAGUCAGUUGAAAUUAUUGGUUUUGCGAGCCAUUUCUCUGAUCUAAACUCUCACUUUAUCUUGACGAGGCAUACCCACAUCAGCUUGACAAGACAUCACGACCUCAUAUUUCCUGACUAAGAUGUUUGCUACUGGAAGAUUCUAGAAAGAUUCAACUCACGUACUCGGAUGCACUUGAGUACUCCCCAUGUUCUUCGAAGUAUUCAAUUAGGCGCUUCAAGAAGUUG